rnacentral:lncRNA from 1 species
GCUCAAUAACCGCGGACUUGAAUUCUUUCAGAAGUUGAAGGCAAUCCUCGUAAUAAAUCCUUAAUACGUCAUCCUUGCAUUCAGACCUUCCUGUCAAUUGGUCCACGAUAAGUAUGGAAUCUUCAAAAAUCUCGACGGCAUCGGCCUUGAUCUCCCUCACAAUUGUAAUCCCUUUAACAUAGCUCGGUACUCCACUUGGUUGUUAGUGGCGGAUGCUUCUAUCGGCAGAGAGAAAUCAUAGCUUGCCCCCCGAGGCGAUAUGAGAAUGAUGCCGAUUCCUGAUCCGGCCCCACAUGACGAACCAUCAAAAUAUAA